rnacentral:rRNA from 1 species
UACGUAGGGUGCAAGCGUUGUCCGGAAUUAUUGGGCGUAAAGAGCUCGUAGGCGGUUUGUCGCGUCGAAUGUGAAAACCCGGGGCUCAACCCCGGGCCUGCAUUCGAUACGGGCAGACUAGAGUUCGGUAGGGGAGUCUGGAAUUCCUGGUGUAGCGGUGAAAUGCGCAGAUAUCAGGAGGAACACCGGUGGCGAAGGCGGCGACCUGGGCCAAUAUUGACGCUGAGGUGCGAAAGCGUGAGGAGCAAACAGG